rnacentral:rRNA from 1 species
CUGACCUCGAAUCAGGUGGGACUACCCGCUGAACUUAAGCAUA